GCCUCAAGAAGCCAAAAUAUCCCCCUUUCUCCCGAAGCAUCUCCGGUCCAAGAUUCAUAUGCGCUCACCCCCCAGUCCUGCCGUUCCUGACCACUGUUCGCCUCCAAGCCACCCCGUCGUGCCCCCUGCCGGACUGUUGUGUCCCACCGCCGCCCGUCUCCCCGCCACCCACCCUGUCCCCUUCCGCACCUACGCCCCAUCGUGUCCCCCGCCCAACCACCGCACUGCCUCUCCUCCGCCUCGCCGUGUCAGCCGCUGCAUCACCGCACUAUUGUUGUGUGCUCCGUCGCUUGGCCGUGCCCCAUGCCGCACUGCGCAGUCGUGCCCCCUCUUCUUCCCCUUCCAUACCUUCAGUGCUCCAAUGGAACCAUGGCCACGCAGCCGGGAUGGCGCCCCCUCCCCCUGGUGACCUUGCCCCGGCUGGUAGCUGGACUACCACCAGAUCUACCUAACAUCGUAGCCCCUCCUUCUCUCCGACAGGUUCCCUUUAUCUCUCUCGCUCUAUGGUUUUACUUGCGUGCCAGAACUCGUGCUACCAUCAAGAAAUUUUCCACAUUACAUAUUGUCAAUGCCUGCUCACUGUAGAGAAAUAUGUUUCUUUCAUUGUAAAUCUGAAUAUUCAGGAGAUCGAUAGACUACAUGGGGAUAAUCAUGUGACAUUAUUUCUGAACUAUUAUCAAGUAGUCAUUAUUAAUUCGAGUACAAUUGCAUAAUCUACCCAGUAGUUAUAUACAUUCUAUUCGGUAAAAAAGAGUAAGUUUAGAAAAUUAGAAAUAGAUUGACAUGGUCUUACCGAUGGUCAUGGUCUAAUGGUUGAUGGAUACCAUCAUCUAAUUCAAGCUCUUGCGCAGAGAAACUUCUUGAGGUGAUGUUAUGUAGUUUGAGAUUAUCAAUGUACUCCCUCCGUAAAGAAAUAUAAGAGCAUUUAGAUCACUAAAGAGUAAUCUAAACGCUCUUAUAUUUCUGUACAGAGGGAGUACUUGCGAUUCUUUGGAACUAACCACCAAUGUUUUUAUGGCGUAACGCGUUUUAUGGCGACCAACCCCCUUUAUAACAUUAUAAUGAUUAUGGUGUAUGGCGUGGCGACAGCAUAAACACUAUCUUAUGACGAAUGUUAGCAAAUUAAAUCAGUAGUAAAUGAGUACAUGACUACAUGGUUUGCCCAUGUAGUACAGAUUGUUUUCCCACCUGCUUGUCUCCUUUUCUCCAAAGCAGAGUGCAUGAACAAUGAAAAAUAAGUCCGUAUUCCACAACAUAAUAAUGACAGCAAGUUGCAAUUCUAUAUAUAGCAGCAGCCAGUACAUGUACAUGAGAAAUUCAGAAAACAUAAGAGAAGAAACAGAGCACAACAGAGACGGGUAGGGGGAGGAAGAAUAGGGAGAAGGGGAGAGAGGGGAGGGGAUAAGUAGCAUACUUUGCUGAUCUGAUGGCCUGAUGCACGUACCAGCAAGUGGUGGCCGGAUUGGAGCCUAGUCCGCCAAGGUGGCCUGCCCUGCAGCUCGUGGAUCUGGAGUUCGAGCACGAGCUGAAGCAGGAGAGCAUGCACAACAACACACAGAUCAUGCCAUCAUUAAUUUCAGGACCAUAAUCUCACACUGGAUACUGCUGCACAAGAUUUGAAUCUAAUGCGUGACCAGGUGCUACAUGAUAUAUGGAGUUUUAUCAGUGCAUCUGGAAGUAGCUUGCUCAGCUUGUCACUCCAGGUCCAGGGCAGCCAACCUCUUGAUCCUUAAUGUUUCUUUUGUUAGCUAGUGUUUACACUGCCAAGGUUAGUGUUUUAGGCAGUUGAUUGCUAUUGUUUUAGUUUUUCUUUGUUCAGAUAAGUUCUGACAAUAUAGUGCUUGAUAUGGACCUUAUUACGAAGUGUUUUAUGUAUCAUUUACUCCCUCUGUGUCAAAAAACGUCUUACAUUUUGUGACGGAGGGAGUACUAAAUACUUGGGUAACCAUUGACUAUAGGGCCACAUGUUUUGCAACCUGAUGUUGGCCACAGGUUACUCCUUUACACCCGCCUUGGAAGUCAAGCUGAACAUUUAUUUCCUUCUCGGUAGCACCACUAUGUGCAUAAGUGUUCUCUGUUAGAUGUUAGUGAUUUCCACUGCUUAGUCUAGUUUUUUGAAUGGUUUGUACUGCAAAAAAAUGUUCUCAUGUUUUUUCCGGUUCUAGUGAUUGCCUUUCUUUUCCCUGAAAUCCGCCAUUAGAUACAGUCCAUUUUUGGAUAGCACCCACUAGUUAUACUUUACUAUCUGAAUUUAUAUAUCUUGUAGUAAUUCAGUUUCUUUGUUUCAGGAACCACUUGAUGGAUACAACGAGUGUCACUUUCCACCGGAGGUACCCUCUCUUCGACUCAUCGUUAGAGGAUUGUACAGCCUAUGUAUUCCACGGAAUGAUAUACACUGAUCUGAACCAGAACCCACUUAUUGUGCCGUUGGAGAUUCUUCAUGGCCAUCUAAGUUCAGAUAGAAGAGGGGUUUUGGAUUAAAAAUUCCACCUGAGGCAGCCGUGGUUGUUCACUGCUAGUGCUGACUCGGUGAUUAGGCCCUACUGCGAGUGAUGAUGAUGGUGCUUUUAAAGGAGCAUUUGGUUUUUCCCGGCGAUUUUGACAUGAUGAUGAUGAUGAUGUUGUGUUGUUUUGACAAGAGUCACAAACCAGAGACUGGAGGGAAGGAUUGUGUCUGUUUGAAGACCAACUUGGUGCAUGUAUAGAUAACAUGUUGCUACAAGUUUUGUGUAGUACCAGAUACUUCGGCUUGACAACGCCUGUACUGGUGAUUUAGGUAUUCUGCUAGUUAUAGCAUAUAGCUUUCUCUUUUUCAAAAGUCUGGCUCUGUACUGAACUGGAGUCCGAUUAUGUGUAAUUGACCAUGAAUGUGAUGUGGACGUUCAAUUCUGGCUAUAAUUUAUAAAUUUGAAUUAUGGCGCAAAAUUUAAUUA